rnacentral:lncRNA from 1 species
CGCCUGUUGUGCCAGUUACACCACCUUAUAUCCCUAAACCACCAGUUGUGACACCACCAUAUGUCCCUAAACCACCAGUGGUGCCAGUUACACCACCAUAUGUCCCUAAACCACCAGUGGUGCCAGUUACACCACCUUAUGUGCCAAAACCACCCAUUGUGAAACCACCAAUUGUUUAUCCACCAGUUGUGCCAAAACCACCAAUUGUUACACCACCUUAUGUGCCAAAACCACCCAUUGUGAAACCACCAAUUGUUUAUCCACCAGUUGUGCCAAAACCACCAAUUGUUACACCACCUUAUGUGCCAAAACCACCCAUUGUGAAACCACCAAUUGUUUAUCCACCAGUUGUGCCAACACCACCUAUUGUGUAUCCACCUGUUGUACCAACUCCAC